rnacentral:rRNA from 1 species
AUUGAACGCUGGCGGCAGGCCUAACACAUGCAAGUCGCACGAGUGGCGUACGUGUGAGUUAUGUCUGGGAAACUGCCUGAUGGAGGGGGAUAAUUACUGGAAACGGUAGCUAAUUCCGCUUACCUUCACAUGUGCCCAGAUGGGAUUGGCUUGUUGGUGGGGUAACGGCGCACCAAGGCCACGAUCCCUAGCUGGUCGGAGAGGAUGACAAGCCACACUGGAACUGAGAAAGGGUCCGGACACCUACGGGAGGCAGCAGUGGGGAAUAUUGCACAAAGGGCGCAAGCCUGAUGCAGCCAGGCCGCGUGUAUGAAGAAGGCCUUCGGGUUGUAAAGUACGUUCAGCGGGGAGGCGUUACAAGCAGAAGAAGCACCGGCUAACUCCGAGCCAGCCGCCGCGGUAAUAC